rnacentral:rRNA from 1 species
CGAACACGGAAGUUAAGCUCUUCAGCGCCGAUGGUACUGCAUGGGAGACUAUGUGGGAGAGUAGGUCACUGCCGAAU